GGGUCAAUGAUGAGAACUCAUACUGCCCUGAAGGAGAGGAUGACUUAAAAAUCAUGCUCAAUAUGUUCACGCUGAGGCCC